UUAAUUUAUGGAUUCGUUCAUUUUCAAUAAUAACUGAUCAUCAUACUGAUCAUGGUCGAGGUGAUUUGCAACCUGUACAGCAAAAAAAGUCAAUCAGAGUACCUGGAGUAAUUCCUCACUGACAGUGACCAAGGCAAGGUUCGAACUCUGGUGCUUAGGACCCUGAACCUGUGCAGGACCCGCAAUAAUACCCAGAUGAGACUAAAAGGUUCCUGGUUGGGGGUUCAUUUAUUUAUUUAAUAGGAUUUUAACGUCUUGUUUUACACUUUGGUUACAUUCAUGACAUAAACGGUAGUUACUGGUUGCACAAGAUUCGUCAGUUCAACUUUAAUGUCAAACACAGUCGUGGACGAUUUUGCCCACGCAGCCACAAGGAGAACAUGCAAACUCCACACAGAAAGGACCCAGUCUACCCCACCUGGGGAUCGAACCCAGGACCUUCUUGCCGUGAGGUGACACUGAUACCCACUGAGCCACCGCGCUGCCAAAUGUAAAUUUGCAGAGGGAACCCAAGAAGUAAAAAUAUCAAAAGGAAAUAUUCUCUUCAGUAGCUGCUUCAAAUGUAAACAAUGGACAGGAGCUGCAGAUCUCCACUUUUGAUUAUCGUCUUCACUCCUCUUCAGACACGUGUUUCUUUUCACCUGCAUGUGGGAGUAUAGAGAUCUGAAUCACACACGGAGAGUCACACACUGAUCUUCAUUAUUCCUCGUCUUUGUGCAGUGAACUCACCACCGGCCGCCAUCUUCUCAGCCUCCUCCCUGACCACAGGAGACGUCAGGUGAAUUGAGAGAGUCAGCGG